rnacentral:lncRNA from 1 species
AGAAAACUGCGAAAAAAACAGAUACUUAAGAUGAAAAAGUGAAUAGUAAGAAAAAUCUGUAAAAAAUGUAUAAUGAAGAAAUAGUUCUUUGUUUAUACUUCUUCUACAGAUUCAUAUAUUAUAACGAAGAUUCAUAAAAAAGGGAUAUGAUAUUAAAAAAAACAACAUUCAAGGCAUUAACUUUAGCUAUCAAAUCUUUUAUUUCGUCUGGAUUAGCAUCUCCUGCUGGAAUAACUUCAAUAUCAAGUGUUCUUGGUCUUUUUCUUCCUCCUGUUUUGUCAGAUUUUUUUCUUGUAUUUCGACGAAGUUGUGUUAGAUUAACCUGUUUUUUGUUGUUGUUUGUAACAGAUAGACCAAUAGCCUGGCGUGCUGCCAAUAUAUGAUAACAUCUACUUUCAGCUGGACAUGAACAUGUCUCUUUUGGAAACAGUUUUACUACACGUGGUUCUAUAGAUCCUUUUACAAUAAAGGUCGCAAGUUUGGGGUCAAGAGCAAUAUGAGAAUUUCUAAUGAUUUCAUUGGCCCUUUCAACAGAAGUUAUCAUAGUUGUAUCUUGUACUAACUCUAAACUUUUAGAUGUAUUAUGCAUAAAUUGAUUGUUGAUGGUUUCUUUAAUACGUUGAACAAUUUGUUCUGGUGCUGUUGUAUCUGGAAUAUGAAGAUCACAUUCUUCAUAAGUACCUUUCAAUUCAGCUCUUAAUUCAUAUUGGCCAGUUCCUUUUCGAGCACGAUAAAUUUCCACCAUACUAUAUUGUAUAAGUCUAUAUAAGCUUAAAGCCAUUGAAUCUACAGUAGCCUUCUGAUUGAUUUGUUGUAAUUUCAUGAAAGUUAAACUGUUUAAUUCUCCAAGAUCCAAGUUUGUCUACUACACUAUGAAUUGUUUUGAUAUAGUACUCAGAAAAAGGCUGACUCCAUGCUGAUAACAUUGUUAUUAGUUUAUCUUUAUAUGAAGAUUCAGAACGAAGAAGAGAUUGAAUACAUUCAGUGUAAUAUGCUAAUUCAUCUUUUGUCUUCACUCCAUGCAAUUGUAACCAUCGCUUACUGUCCUGCAAAACAUGGUUCCAACAAAGAAAAUGUGAAACUGAUGGAAAACUUUCUUUGAUGAUCUCUGUUAUAGCUCGUUCUUGAUCUGUGACAAUAAAAACAUUCUUUAAAGCAAGUUCUGGGCAUACUAAUUUCAUAUGUUGCCAAAAUAUGGAAUGGGGCAUUAGUGUUUUUCGCUCAUGUAUCAUAAAAGCUAGUGGAAUGAUUGGACUUGGGUCAAACUCAGUUUCUCUAAAUAGCAAAACAGAAAGAUAGAAGUCGCCUAAAGAAAAAGUUGUAUCAUAUGAUAGUUGCUGAGGUAGUUGAGACAAUUUCAGUACUUGCUGAAAAAUUUGCAGUGUUUCAUCUGAGUACAUAACUACCACCAAAUCAGGAAAUGUUAUUAUAUUAUGAAUAAAAUUUGUAUCAUACGCUAAUUCAUGAAGAUUGUAUAAACUAUCUCUAGAUAAACGCUGCUGAUUGCGUGUUGAUUUUAAAGUAUUACUGACUUGUUCCAUGUUACGUGGAACUGCUGUUAUAUUUAUAUCAGCUGUAUUUGAUAAUAUUAUGUCUUUGUAUACUUUUUGGACAGAACCUGUACUUUCCUUAAUUUGGUUUAUAACACCUGGCUGUGUCCUGAUAAAAUCUCUAUUACAUCUAGUAGCAUUUCCAUGAGGAAACUGCACAGCCUUAGCUUCAUCACCUAUGUAUGAUAUCAGAACUGAAUUAACAUAAUCAGCAUGAUAGUGUGCUCUACGUACAAACACAUCACUUACUGUGUAUUGUGCAACAAGAAUUCUAAAAUACUUCCUUUUAAUUCCAUUAAUUGUCUUUGAACCCCCUUGCCUCCACCUGUAACCAUCUGCACGCCAAUUUUCUAAAUAA